rnacentral:tRNA from 1 species
CCACUUGGGGUAAGCUUGGGUAAGAACUCGUCUCCUGCCCUCCGAAGGCAGAGGUCACAGGUUCGAAUCCUGUCGGGUGCGCCA